GCUGGGCGUAGUGGUGCAUGCCUAUCUAUAGUCCUGGCUUCUUGGGAGGCUGAGGCUGGGGGAAUCACUUGAGCCCGGGAGUUCUGAGCUGUAGUGCGCUGUGCUCAUUGGGUGUCUGCACUAAGUUAGGCAUCAUGUGAUGAACUCCCAGGAGCGGGGGACCAGCGAAGCUUCCUAAGGAGAAGUGAACCGGUUCAGGUCAGAAACAGAGCAGGUUAAAACUCCCAUGCUGAUCAGUAGUGGAAUCACACAUGUGAAGAGCCCCAGCACUCCCACCUGGGCAACAAAGUGAGACCUUGUCUCU
rnacentral:SRP_RNA from 1 species